CUUCCUAAGCCGGAACGAAAAGUUGCCUGGAUAACUCUGGGGGGCUUUUGGCUUGCGGUUGUGAUGUUGUGUUGUUGUGUUUGCAUUGGGUCUAUAGAUUCAGACCCGCGGUAGCAGGGCUACCCUUUUCACUUUCUAUACAUUUACCCUGUCUGUCCAUAGUGAUUAAUGUAGCACCGCAAAAAGCGGUGCUUUUUUUU
rnacentral:other from 1 species